UAUUAGAUUGGGGGUGGCCAAGCUACAUUUAAGAGACUUUUACUUACCUGAUCCAGAGGAGUUAUUAUGUGUGAUUCGAUGUUAGUGGCCUUCCUGGAACGUCACCCCUUUCUUCCUAGGACAAAAACGUUGCUGUCCUCCGGCAGAAGUUCCCUAUGUAGAGAUCCAAAACUGGAAUAUAGACCCGGAUGUUGAGAGAUGAGAUGCAGAGGUCUGGAGUCCUUCUGAGAGGAGACGAACCAAGAGGAGGAACCGGCCACGG
rnacentral:lncRNA from 1 species